rnacentral:lncRNA from 1 species
AUGAAACGGAUUUCAAUCAUUUAUUUCUAGAAAGUGAGUUAAUUGGAUUCAUUUUGCAGGUUUAAUAUUCGAACCAUGUAAUAAUUCAUGAAAAAUAUGCAAUUAUAAUUCUAUGAAUUGCUGUUGAACAUUAUGGCAUCGGACCGUAGUUGGAUGUUGAAUAGGUCAGAUGAUGGAUUUCUUUCUGAUAGAUUCAUUGGAGGUGUUGAAAAGUUCAUUGAAUUUGCCAUGUCUCGAACAAGAGAUGGAGAUAUGAUCAAAUGUCCAUGUUCUAUAUGUAAAAACACAAGGUUUCUCAUAGGAGAUGAUGUGAAAUUUCACCUUUACAAAAAUGGAUUUACAAGGGGCUAUACACAAUGGAACGCGCAUGGAAAACCAUUCAGUUUCAAUUGUCCAAAUUUGGUUGAAUCCUCAACUACACAAGCUACAACCAUUGAGAGCCAUGAAGCAAUGGUGUUAGACGCGAUGGGCACUGAAAUGUACCAUGAUUACAUCAAUCCUAAUAUUUGUGGUCAUGAGGAACAAACCCCAAAUCAACAUGCCGCAAAUUUCUUUACACUAUUGGAAGAAGCUAACAAACCUAUGUGGCCUGGUUGUAGUAGGCACACAAACCUUUCUAUUAUGGCAUGACUCUUGAAUCUGAAGUCUGAGUUUAAUAUGCCGACAGCAUGUUAUGAUCGUAUGCUGUCUAUAAUUAAAGAAAUUAUGCCAGAAGAUGAUCGCUUAGAAGCUACGUUCUAUAAAACAAAGAAAAUGUUAUCCAGUCUUGGCUUUGGUGUUAUGAAGAUCCAUACUUGUGUGAAUGAUUGCAUGUUGUACUACAAAGAAAUCGAGAGCAUGACUCAGAGUCCUACGUGUUUUAGUCCACGAUACAAAGAGAAGAUGUCUCGAUCUGGACAUAGGGUACCUCAAAAGGUACUUCGAUAUCUACCUCUAACUUCUAGGCUUCAGUAAUUGUAUAUGUCAAGACAAACUGUAGAGCACAUGUUAUGACAUUCGAAGAAUCAAUUCAAUGAUAAUGAAAUGUCACACCCCGUACAUAGUGAGGCAUGUAAGUACUUUGAUAGAACUUUUCCUCAAUUUUUCCUUGAACCACGUAGUGUGUGCCUCAGUUUAUGUAUGGAUGGUUUCAACCCUUUUAGCAUGUCAAAUGUGUAAUACACUUG